rnacentral:rRNA from 1 species
UAGGGAAUCUUCGGCAAUGGGGGGAACCCUGACCGAGCAACGCCGCGUGUGUGAAGAAGGUUUUCGGUUCGUAAAGCUCUGUUGUUAAGGAAGAACGAGUGUGAGAAUGGAAAGAUCAUGCUGUGACGGUACUUAACCAGAUAGGGAUGGCUAACUACGUGCCAGCAGCCGCGGUAAUACGUAGGUCCCGAGCGUUGUCCGGAUUUAUUGGGCGUAAAGCGAGCGCAGGCGGUUAGAAAAGUCUGAGGUUAAAGGGAGUGGCUCAACCAGUGUAGGUUAUGGAAACUGAUUAACUUGAGUGUAGAAGGGGAGAGUGUAAUUCCAUGUUUAGCGGUGAAAUGCGUAGAUAUAUGGUGGAACACCGGUUGCGAAAGCGGCUCUAUGGUCUGUAACUGACGCAGAGGCUCGAAAGCGUGGGGAGCGAACAGG